rnacentral:rRNA from 1 species
AACGAACGCUGGCGGCAUGCCUAACACAUGCAAGUCGAACGAGACCUUCGGGUCUAGUGGCGCACGGGUGCGUAACGCGUGGUAACCUGCCCUUAGGUUCGGAAUAACUCCCCGAAAGGGGUGCUAAUACCGGAUAAUGUCUUCGGACCAAAGAUUUAUCGCCUUUGGAUGGGCCCGCGUUGGAUUAGCUAGUUGGUAGGGUAAAAGCCUACCAAGGCGACGAUCCAUAGCUGGUCUGAGAGGAUGAUCAGCCACACUGGGACUGAGACACGGCCCAGACUCCUACGGGAGGCAGCAGUGGGGAAUAUUGGACAAUGGGCGAAAGCCUGAUCCAGCAAUGCCGCGUGAUUGAUGAAGGCCUUAGGGUUGUAAAGCUCUUUUACCCGGGAUGAUAAUGACAGUACCGGGAGAAUAAGCUCCGGCUAACUCCGUG